UACGGAGGGUGCAAGCGUUAUCCGGAUUUACUGGGUUUAAAGGGUGCGUAGGUGGCAGGUAAGUCAGUGGUGAAAUCUCCGGGCUUAACUCGGAAACUGCCAUUGAUACUAUCUGUCUUGAAUAUCCUGGAGGUAAGCGGAAUAUGUCAUGUAGCGGUGAAAUGCUUAGAUAUGACAUAGAACACCCAUUGCGAAGGCAGCUUACUACGGGAUUAUUGACACUGAGGCACGAAAGCGUGGGGAUCAAACAGG
rnacentral:rRNA from 1 species